rnacentral:tRNA from 1 species
AUUUAUGUAGUUUAAAAAAACAUUACAUUUUCACUGUAAAAAUAUUAUAUCUUAAUCAUAAAAU